UAGAGUAUUGGGGGUGGAAAUGAAGAGAAAGAAACAGCCUGGCAGAAUUAUUUAGGAAGUAAUAGUUAAAAAAAGACAUCUAAGUUUCUGAGCUAUCUGACUGGAAGGAUGGAAGAAAAUGUUGUUUUUGAGAGAAAAAAAAGACCAUGGGUUUAAAUUUGUACUUGAUGAAUUGAGGUACUUUUAAUAUUCAAAUGAAUUUGCCUGGCAGGUACUUGAAGAUAUUGAUCUAAAUCUCAGAAACAGAAUAUGAUCUGAAGCUCUAAAUUUGUGAUAUUCAACAUAAAUACUUUAGAGUUAUUGGGAUAAACAUGGUAAUUGUAGCUAGAAGCAAAGAUAAGAUCCUAGGGAGGAAGGAUAAAGUUAGAAGAAAGAAGAAUCUGGAAUUGACCUUGAAGUAUAUCAAUAUGUGUAAAGAUCAUGAACUGAUCAUUUUUAUUUUCCAGAAAGUAGCUUUUCUUAGGGUUCCAUAUUUACUCCCAUAGAUUCUUCCCAGUCAGUACUGAAUCCCACCUGGUUUCAUAAAACAUAAGUUUUAGAGAAUUUGAACAAGGUUGAAGUUUUCUUCAGCAAGAUUCAGCAGUCCAGGAUGAAGGCAGAGGAAACAAAUGUUUCACCACUUAACUGUGAGACUUGGUCAAGUUGUCGAGGGAAUUGACAGACUAGCCAGAGAGUGUAUAACAUCAACAAUCUGUUCAGUGAAUACAGCUGGGGAAAGAAAGCAAAGAAGGAUGUAAUAGUCUUGAAGAACACAUGUGCAUUACAAUACUUACUGAGGUCAAAUAAGGAUGGUAUUGAGUUUAUGAGAAAGAUGAAGAGGUCAGAAGUUUGGGCCAGGACCUAUGAUUUUGAAAUAUGCUUUAAAAUGAUAAAUUGUAAGGAAUUAUAAAGCCCAAAUUCUGUCCAAUAGGUGAGGAUUAAUUUCUAAUGAUUCAAUGAAGCUGAAAAUGGUAGAGUGGAUAGUUUUGAAGAACUGAUUGUUAGAAUCACUUUAGACCAUAUCCUUCAACUAUUAUUAAUUUUUCUGGGUUUAAAAGAAGGUACUUUUUAAUAAUGAAAAUGUUAAGACAAAGCUCAUAAGCAUUAGAUUCUUAUAGAGGAGAGGGCAUAGUUGAUAUUUUGUUAGGAGAAUUGAAAUAUUUACAUACAUUCUAGGCCCACCAGAAAACCAGUUGCCCCUGCAUUGUAGCCAUCUGCAAGAGACACUGAAGGGAAAGCCAAAGUUUUUGUCUUGAUUUUUUAAAUAAUGAAUUAAAAUCUAUUGAGUAAAACAGAAUAUGAGUCCCUGCUCAUAUAAAAUAAAUGACUAAAUUAAAAGUUUCAUAAGAAAUGCAAAAUUUAAGUGCUUUCAAAACUCCUCCUCAUGGAAUACCACUUUGUACCAAUUAUGAUGGCCAAAAUUAAAACUUAUAAUACUGGGCCAUUGCAAGUUUUGAAAAGAAUGUGAAGCAACUGGAACUCUCACAAACUGCUGAUGGAAAUACAAAAGGUGCAACCAUGUUGGAAAACAGUCUUAAAUCACUGAACUACACACUUACAUUUUAUUUUAAUUAAUUAUGCCUCUAUAAAGUUGACUCAAAAGAGGAAAAAGAGAAUUGUCCAAAACACACAUCUUUAGGUGAAAAAAUCUUCUUCAUUAAAUGUUGUUUUUAAAUGUAUUUUAAUUAAUAAAAACUGUAUACAUUUAUGUUGUAAAACAUGUUGUUUUGAAAUAUGUAUACAUAGUGGAAUGAGUCAGUGGAGCUAAUUUAUAUAUACAUUACCUCACAUAAUUUUUUGCGGUAAGAACACUGCAAGUCUGUUCUCUUAGCAAUUUUCAAAAAUAAAAUGUAUUAACCAUAGUCACCAUGUUGUAAAACAGACCUUCUGAACUCAUGUCUCCUGUUUAACUGAAAUUUGUAUCCUUUGACCAACAUCUCCUCAACUCCCUCUCACAUCCCGGCUCCUGGUAACCACCAUUUUACUCUUUAUUUAUAUGAGUUCAACUUUUCUAGAUUCCACAUAUAAGAGAGACCAUGCAAUAUUUGUCUUUCUCUGCAUGACUUAUUUCACUCAAUAUAAUGUUCUCCAGGUUUACCCUGUUGUCAUAAAUGACAGGAUUUCCUUCCUUUUAAAGGCUGAAUAGUAAGUAUUCUACUGUGCAUGUAUAUAACACAUUUUCCUCAUCCAGUCACUCAUUAUUACAUAGAUGGGUUGAUUCCGUAUUUUGAUUAUUGUGAAUAAUGCUGCAAUGAACAUGUGAAUAAAGAUAUCUGUUCAACGUAACUGCUUUUAUUUCCUUUGGAAAUAUACCCAAAAGUGGAAUUAUUAAAUC
rnacentral:lncRNA from 1 species